rnacentral:rRNA from 1 species
GAAUAUUGGACAAUGGGGGGAACCCUGAUCCAGCCAUGCCGCGUGUGUGAAGAAGGCCUUUUGGUUGUAAAGCACUUUAAGCGCGGAGGCGGCUACUUAGAUUAAUACUCUGUGAUAGUGGACGUUACUCGCAGAAUAAGCCCCGGCUAACUCGGUGCCAGCAGCCGCGGUAAGACAGAGGGUGCAAGAGUUAAUCGGAUUUACUGGGCGUAAAGCGCGCGUAGGUGGCCAAUUAAGUCAAAUGUGAAAGCCCCGAGCUUAACUUGGGAAUUGCAUUCGAUACUGGUUGGCUAGAGUAUGGGAGAGGAUGGUAGAAUUCCAGGUGUAGCGGUGAAAUGCGUAGAGAUCUGGAGGAAUACCGAUGGCGAAGGCAGCCAUCUGGCCUAAUACUGACACUGAGGUGUGAAAGCAUGGGGAGCAAACA